rnacentral:misc_RNA from 1 species
CCUUUUUUUUUUUUUCUUUUUCAAAACCACCAAAAAGGAAAGCAUCAAGAAUUCAAGACUCAAGACUCUCUCUUUCUUUCUCUCUCUAUUCUUGCAUUAAUGUAACUGAAGCAUACAGGCAUCAAAUUCAGAAAAGAGAAGGAGAAGAGGAAAGAGAGAUCUGAUAAUCGAGAGGGCAAUAAAUUGCACCAACCAAAACGAAGAGAAAUCUCUCGAGGAAGAUUUGGUGAUCUUUAAAUUUUCUUUGAUCAUCAGUCUAACCAAAACCCACCAGCAUUCAUGUGGCUACGGGGAAAGAAGAUAAUACCCCCGGCACUAAAAUUAUGUACAGAGUCACAAAUGCACACACGCACGCACACACAUAUUUAAUCAACACUAUCAUCUUAGACUCUCAGACUCUAAAGAACAACAUAGCAAUCGAACGAGAAAUAUCUAAAUGAAGGUAGUGAGGGAAAAGAAGAAGAAGAAGAGAGGAAAAUGAAUGAAGAGUUGGUUUGAGAGAUAUGAGGGAGCAAAGGAUCUUUAAGAAGGGGAAGAGAACGAGUUGGACUUUUUAUUUUGGGUGGGUGGGUGAGUAGCUAUAAUUGUUAAUUAAAGGAAUGAAUUGAGUAAAGAAACGAAUCUCGGGGGCAUGGAAAUUAUGAAGGA